AGGCGAUUAGCUCAGCUGGUUAGAGCUCCACCCUGAUAUGGUGGGAGUCGCAGGUUCGAACCCUGUAUCGCCUA
rnacentral:tRNA from 1 species